GUUGAACGCUGGCGGCAGGCCUAACACAUGCAAGUCGAACGGAGCGGCGGACGGGUGGGUAAUGCCUAGGAAUCUGCCUGGUCGUGGGGGAUAACGUCCGGAAACGGGCGCUAAUACCGCAUACUAUCAGAUGAGCCUUGGUCGGAUUAGCUAGUUGGUAGGGUAAAGGCGUACCAAGGCGACGAUCCGUAACUGGCCUGAGAGGAUGAUCAGUCACACUGGAACUGAGACACGGUCCAGACUCCUACGGGAGGCAGCAGUGGGGAAUAUUGCACAAUGGGCGAAAGCCUGAUCCAGCCAUGCCGCGUGUGUGAAGAAGGUCUUCGGAUCGUAAAGCACUUUAAGUUGGGAGGCGUUACCUACAGAAUAAGCACCGGCUAACUUCGUGCCAGCAGCCGCGGUAAUAC
rnacentral:rRNA from 1 species